GAUGAAGAACGUAGCGAAAUGCGAUAAGUAAUGUGAAUUGCAGAAUUCGGUGAAUCAUCGAAUCUUUGAACGCACCUUGCGCCCCUUGGUUAUUCCAAAGGGCAUGCCUGUUUGAGUAUCAUGAACACCUCAACUCUUGUGGUUUCCCACAAUGAGCUUGGACUGUGGAGGUUUUGUUGGCCCUGUGGUCAGCUCCUCUCAAAUGGAUCAGCUUACCGGUGUUUGGUGGCAUUACGGGUGUGAUAACUAUCUACGCUCGUGGUCGUCUCCAAAUAACCUCCAGUGAUGGAGGUUCGCUGGAGCUUAUAAAUGUCUCUCCCCAGUGAAGACAGCCUUUGAACGUUCGAUCUCAAAUCAGGUAGGACUACCCGCUGAACUUAAGCAUAUCAAUAAGCGGAGGA
rnacentral:misc_RNA from 1 species